GCAAGUGUUAGCUACAGGAAAAGCAAAGGUGUUAUGGUCUGAAUUGUGUUCCCCCCAAAAUCCAUACGUUGAAGUUCCAACUCCCAGUACCUUAAAAUAUGACCAUAUUUGGAGAUAGGGCCUCAAAGCAUGAGAUGAAGUUAAAGUGAGGUCAUUGAGGGGUCACCAUAAUUCAUUAUGACUGGUGUCCCUUUAGGAAGAGGAGAUUAGGACACAGACACACACAGAGGGAAGACCAUGGGAAGACACAGAGGGAAGAUGGCCAUGGAAAAGCUAGAGAGAGAGAGUUCUCAGAAGAAGUAACUCUGCCAACACCUUGAUCUCAGAUUUCUAGCCUCCAAAGACAAUGUCAAGAGAAUGAGAAGACAAGCCUCAGAAUGAGAAGAAACAUUUGUAAAAGAUACAUCUAAUAAAGCAGUUUUAUCCAAAAUAUAUAAUACAAAGAUCUCUUGAGACUCAACAUUAAGGAAGCAAACAACCAGAAUAAAAAAUGAGCUCCAGAUACUAACAGCCACCUCAUCAAAGACAAUACACAGAUAACAAAUUACCAUAUGAAAAUGUGGUCUCUAUCAUAUGUCAUCAUGGAAAUUCAAAUUAAAGCCACAGUGAGAUACCACUACACACCUAUAAGAAUAGCCAAAAUCCAGAAUACAGACAACACCAUACGCUAAUGAGGAUUAGGAGCAACAGGAACUCGUAUUCAUGCUGGUGGGAAUGCAGCAAGGAACAUUUCCCUCUCUGGAUACAUGUGUUUCAGAUCACAAAGCCAUAGAUGAGAGGAGUCUCUCUUUCUAAAUCACUUUUUGAAGAACACCUACUCAAGAGAGUCACCUGACCCCGUUGGAAUAUAAGAUGUGUGGGAAAUCUACCUUAUUGCAUUAAACUACUCAGAUUUUUGUGUGGUUGGUUAAACAGUAUUAAUUACUAUAACUAAUGCAAGG
rnacentral:lncRNA from 1 species